AGAAUAGAAAAUGUAUUAAUAUUCAUUAGUGAAAUCCCAUGCAAACUAUAACAGCAUAAGAGACAGAGCAGCCAUGGCUCUUUUACUUUUGGAGACGAGAAGGGAGGUUAUAUUUAAACUUAAAACAGAUGAAUAGAUAAAGGAAAGUAAUCAUGGUCCUGCUCCCGCAUAACAGUAAGAGGACCUAUCAUGAAAAUGAGUCCCAAUACUAGUGCCUAUCAUUGCAUGCAUGCAUGUUUUAUUUCUUUAAAACUGCAAUAGCAAAGGCCUACAAAAUCCCUGAUCUCAUUUAGGCAUAAAUUUUUAUUUUACUGCCACAAAAAGACCUCUGACAAAAUCAAGUCAUGAAACGGAAUAUGGUGAUCAACGGAGGCACAAGUAUGUGUCUAGCAAGAGGUGAUUAAACUCAGGAAACCACAACAACAAUAAUAAACUGAUGUGUGACCAAUA
rnacentral:misc_RNA from 1 species